AGGAUCACUUUGGGUCAAGAAAGGAACAAAACUAUAAAGUGGCGCCACCUACUGAUCUACAGAGGGUCUGUUCUGAGCUGAACCACAAGGUGGCGGUCAACGACCAAUAAUGACCAUGUCAUUGGGGUUUCCAGCUCGACGUGACAGACCACACUGACCUGCCGUGUCUGAUGACACAACCACAAAACCCUCAGGUUGGACAAUCCAAUAUGUACAUGACUUGGUGAUGCACAAUGAAGAAUCCUAACCGUCACAGCAGCUGUAGAAAUACAACAGAUCUAUUUUCUUUCUUUUUUUUUGUUUUCUUUAUACUUCUACAGACAAGCUUUUCUUGGUAAAACUUAUAAUUUAGCAGAACCUUUUACAUUUUUUUUUGCAAUUGCCAAGACGCAAAAACUGGCACAAUUACUGCCACAAUAUCUAUUAAUCAGGUAUGCUAAACCAUAAAUACAUGUCUGCUUUAGUUUGAAAUUCUAAAACACACGUUUUGCAAAUAACUACACACGUAUAUCUACAUUAGACACGUCAUUCAAAGCUAAAAGCCUGUUUGUGUUGUUUGCUAAACACUGACAUUGAAAUACCACAUUCAAUUAUUUCUUAGAAACUAGUGCUUGAACACUAUAAAUAGGAUUCAGGUUUGCUCUUUGGUGUGCA